rnacentral:lncRNA from 1 species
UGUAUAUAUAUAUAUAGCACCAGGAUAAGAUACUUAUUUGUUUUGGUUUAAUCACUGCUGGGGGUUUGCAAAUCUUUGCCAGACAUUUUUACAGGCCAGAAAAUAAACUGUUGAUGUGUUUUGGCCAAAAUAUUCAUGAAUGCAUGACUAACAGUGGGUCUAUUGAUAAUGCCAUUCAAUAUGUUUUAUUCUGCUUAAGCCUUUGAACUGUAUGCAUAAUUAUUUAAAUAAGCAGUUGAGUGAGUAGAGCACCCUUCAUCAUGGACCUCAUAACCUCACACACACAUACACACACACACACACACACACACACACACACACACACACACUUUUAAAUGAACCGAGCUCAUACAGAAACUGCAGUGAAUGUCCCUUUAAAACAUGUUGAUUAUAAUAUGAAAAUAAUACUUGCUCGUGAUUGUUCAAAGGUUACUUUUAAAAGUUACUUUUAAUCUUCUCUGAAAAGCAAUAUGUGUAGAAAUAAAUUUACUCAAAUUGAAUCAGCAAUUAAGACAUAUAAUUAAACAAGAAAUAGAAAGACUAAAAUAGUUUUUUGCUUGUGAAAUGUAUACCAAUAAUCAAUAUUUACAACUUUUGAAAAAUAUAUAGAUAUUUUUACAGUGUAUGCAUUGCAUUUUUUGAUUGUUUGCACAAACCAAAUGUAUUACUUUAAAGCCUGUUUUUAUUAUUUACAUAUACAUUUUUAUGUUGCAUUUAUACAGGCCUUAAAUCGCCCCAAUGAUGAGCUCCCGCUGUGUCUGUCCACCCCGGGACGUCCCCGACUUGAGACCACGAGACAACUACCAACUUAAUUCAGGAGUGUGAUUAAUUAAAAACGGCUCCGUAAUGGAAGGCACGCACACUGUGCUGCGUCUGUACAAACCCAUCCAGGAGCUGUGCUUCAUCAGUCUCUACUUCCCAACCAGGAAGUCCCGAGGUUUCCCACGAGCUGACCAAACCCCUCGUGAAGUCCGGCCUCAGGAUGAAGACGCUAAACAAAGAGGCCAGUAUUCCUGCGAGGCCACAAAAGCAGCGGUCGCACAGCUCCACUGGCUGACCACAGAACACCAUCAGCUGCUCACGCACCUCUUGUCUUUAUGCAGUGAAUGUGCAGACAGGAUUAAGAUGGGCAACCAGGACGGGAAGCUCCCGGAAGGACACGGGGAACGUCUGGGACAUGAUGUUAGCAGCAGUAACUUCCCUACAUCUCUGCCCCCGGAGCAUAAGAGAGCAGCUUUUAGAGUUCGUAAGCUGAAGAAGCUGGGUUCUAAGAAGAUGGACAGCGCUGAAGAGUUCUUGCAGAGUAGGAUGAAGAAGAAGGUGCAAAGUGGAGCGUCUGAGUUUCCCCCGAAAGCACCCGGAACGCCAAUCUCUUUUCGGGGCCGGGAUACUUCAGGGUCAGAGUCUUAUGUCAGCGUCUCAAGCGAGCCUCUUCUUCCAAUGGAGGAACACUUCCAGAUCGCUCACGACGGAUGGGAUUUUAUGGAAGAGCCUCGUUCUUUUGAGUCUGAGAUGGAUCUUUCGGAGAUUGAUAACCAACUCACUUCGGAGUGCGAGGAACCACUGGGAAACCAACCUGGAUGUGUGCUACAGGAGCCAAUGCCCAUUGGGAACCAACAAGGUCAAUCAACCAUUGGAAGAUUGGAAGUUAACCAAAGGGACGACAACAAGGACAACCAGGAAUCUGGAUCCAAUUCCAGUUUGGAAGUUGGACAAGAAGAGAUCAAGCUCUUUACUCAGGUGAACACCAAAUCAAACUUCUCGCCUUGCGUUGACGCCAACUCUAGAAGCUCUACGCUUCAUCCCUGGAGCAAGAGCCCUACAUCCAUCUCUCUCUCUGGGAUCUUCAACGUGUCUUAUCCUCCAACCAACAGUCUCCAAAGCAUGUCUCCUGUCCUGUCGCCUCUGUCUUCUCAACUUUCGAGUCCCCAAAUGAACCACCGGAUUGUGUUGCUUCCUGAGGAUGAUGGAAAUAAACGCUCCUCGAGAGACGAGCCCAAAGUCGCCACAGAGGUCAUCGACAAAAACGGGAACCGUCGGACGGUCACACGUCUUGACCUGAACCUCAGCAAUCAUUUCAACGUGAACGGAGCCAGUACAUCGACCUCAGAAAACUCUCUGUUGCGGACGGAGGACAUCUGGAUGCUGGAUGCGGAUGAAUCUGUUACCCAGGAGGCAUUGCGUCGUCUCAGCAGACCGGAUCACCUGGACUUCCUGAGAAUCACACCACCAGAGGAUGACAUCAUCGGAGACACUCCGUAUAAUCCCAAACUCGGAAUAACAGUGAGUCAGUCAGCUCUGUGAUGAACAUAUAAUAGUGUUUAUUCUUGAUGAUAAUUCAGUUAGAAGCUUAAGGGUUUAAAAAAUAAAAAUAGAAAAAGUAAUUGCAAUCUCACAUAACUGAAUUUUUCUUUGAAUUCUGGCUUUAUUUCUCACAAUUAUAAUUUAUAUCUCAUAAUUCUGACUUUUUUCUGAAUUCUGGCUUUAUGUCUCAUAAUUCUGACUCUUUUUCUGAAUUCUGGCUUCAUGUCUCAUAAUUGUAGUUUAUGUCUCAUAAUUCUUACUCUUUUCUGAAUUCUGGCUUCAUGUCUCAUAAUUGUAGUUUAUAUCUCAUAAUUCUUACUCUUUUC